rnacentral:rRNA from 1 species
GUAGAGAUCGGGAGGAACAUCCAUGGCGAAGGCAGGUACCUGGACCAACACUGACACUGAGGCAUGAAAGCGUGGGGAGCAAACAGGAUUAGAUACCUUGGUAGUACACGCCCUAAACGAUGCGAACUGGAUGUUGGGUGCAAUUUGGCACGCAGUAUUGAAGCUAACGCGUUAAUUUCGCCGCCUGGGGAGUACGGUCGCAAGACUGAAACUCAAAGGAAUUGACGGGGGCCCGCACAAGCGGUGGAGUAUGCGGUUUAAUUCGAUGCAACGUGAAGAACCUUAUUUGGCCUAGACAUGUCGAGAACUUUCCAGAGAUGGAUUGGUGCCUUCGGGAACUCGAACACUGGUGUUCCAUGGCUGUCGUCAGCUCGUGUUGUGAGAUGAAGGGUUAAGUCCCGCAACGAGCGCAACCCUUGUCCUUAGUUGCCAGCACGUAAUGGUGGGAACUUUAAGGAGACCGCCGGUGACAAACCGGAGGAAGGUGGGGAUGACGUCAAGUCAUCAUGGCCCUUACGGCCAGGGCUACACACGUACUACAAUGGUGGGGACAGAGGGGUCCAAGCCGGCGACGGUAAGCCAAUCCCAGAAACCCCAUCUCAGU